UACGUAGGUGGCAAGCGUUGUCCGGAUUUAUUGGGUUUAAAGGGUGCGUAGGUGGCUUUGUAAGUCAGCGGUGAAACUUUGGAGCUUAACUCCAGAACGGCCAUUGAUACUGCAGAGCUUGAGUUCGAACGAGGUAGGCGGAAUUGACGGUGUAGCGGUGAAAUGCAUAGAUAUCGUCAAGAACACCAAUAGCGAAGGCAGCUUACUAGAACGACACUGACACUGAGGCACGAAAGCGUGGGUAGCAAACAGGAUUAGAUACCCUGGUAGUCCACGCCGUAAACGAUGAUUACUCGAUGUUAGCGAUAUACAGUUAGCGUCCAAGGGAAACCGAUAAGUAAUCCACCUGGGGAGUACGCUCGCAAGAGUG
rnacentral:rRNA from 1 species